AUUGAACGCUGGCGGCAUGCCUUACACAUGCAAGUCGAACGGUAACGGGUCCUUCGGGAUGCCGACGAGUGGCGAACGGGUGAGUAAUAUAUCGGAACGUGCCCAGUAGUGGGGGAUAACUGCUCGAAAGAGCAGCUAAUACCGCAUACGACCUGAGGGUGAAAGGGGGGGAUCGCAAGACCUCUCGCUAUUGGAGCGGCCGAUAUCAGAUUAGCUAGUUGGUGGGGUAAAGGCCUACCAAGGCAACGAUCUGUAGUUGGUCUGAGAGGACGACCAGCCACACUGGGACUGAGACACGGCCCAGACCCCUACGGGAGGCAGCAGUGGGGAAUUUUGGACAAUGGGCGCAAGCCUGAUCCAGCAAUGCCGCGUGCAGGAAGAAGGCCUUCGGGUUGUAAACUGCUUUUGUCAGGGAAGAAAUCUUCUGGGCUAAUACCCCGGGAGGAUGACGGUACCUGAAGAGUAAGCACCGGCUAACUACGUGCCAGCAGCCGCGGUAAUACGUAGGGUGCGAGCGUUAAUCGGAAUUACUGGGCGUAAAGCGUGCGCAGGCGGCUUUGCAAGACAGAUGUGAAAUCCCCGGGCUCAACCUGGGAACUGCAUUUGUGACUGCAAGGCUAGAGUACGGCAGAGGGGGAUGGAAUUCCGCGUGUAGCAGUGAAAUGCGUAGAUAUGCGGAGGAACACCAAUGGCGAAGGCAAUCCCCUGGGCCUGUACUGACGCUCAUGCACGAAAGCGUGGGGAGCAAACAGGAUUAGAUACCCUGGUAGUCCACGCCCUAAACGAUGUCAACUGGUUGUUGGACGGCUUGCUGUUCAGUAACGAAGCUAACGCGUGAAGUUGACCGCCUGGGGAGUACGGCCGCAAGGUUGAAACUCAAAGGAAUUGACGGGGUCCCGCACAAGCGGUGGAUGAUGUGGUUUAAUUCGAUGCAACGCGAAAAACCUUACCUACCCUUGACAUGUCAAGAAUUCUGCAGAGAUGUGGAAGUGCUCGAAAGAGAACUUGAACACAGGUGCUGCAUGGCCGUCGUCAGCUCGUGUCGUGAGAUGUUGGGUUAAGUCCCGCAACGAGCGCAACCCUUGUCAUUAGUUGCUACGCAAGAGCACUCUAAUGAGACUGCCGGUGACAAACCGGAGGAAGGUGGGGAUGACGUCAGGUCCUCAUGGCCCUUAUGGGUAGGGCUACACACGUCAUACAAUGGCCGGUACAGAGGGCUGCCAACCCGCGAGGGGGAGCCAAUCCCAGAAAACCGGUCGUAGUCCGGAUCGUAGUCUGCAACUCGACUGCGUGAAGUCGGAAUCGCUAGUAAUCGCGGAUCAGCUUGCCGCGGUGGAUACGUUCCCGGGUCU
rnacentral:rRNA from 1 species